AGCAGCCGCGGUAAUUCCAGCUCCAAUAGCGUAUAUUAAAGUUGUUGCAGUUAAAAAGCUCGUAGUUGAAUUUCGGGAUCAGUACGCUGGUCGUGCCUUCGGUAUGAACUGGUGUCACUGGUUCCUCCCUUCUGAAGAACCGUCAUGCCAUUCAGUUGGUGUGGCGGGGAAUCAGGACUGUUACUUUGAAAAAAUUGAGUGUUUAAAGCAGGCUCGCGCUUGAAUACAUUAGCAUGGAAUAAUGAAAUAGGACGUUUGACCCUAUUUUGUUGGUUUCUAGGAUCGACGUAAUGAUUAAUAGGGAUAGUUGGGGGCAUUAGUAUUCAAUUGUCAGAGGUGAAAUUCUUGGAUUUAUUGAAGACUAACUACUGCGAAAGCAUUUGCCAAGGAUGUUUUCAUUAAUCAAGAACGAAAGUUAGGGGAUCGAAGACGAUCAGAUACCGUCGUAGUCUUAACCAUAAACUAUGCCGACUAGGGAUCGGAUGAUGUUAAUUUUUAAUGUACUCAUUCGGCUACCG
rnacentral:rRNA from 1 species